rnacentral:rRNA from 1 species
UGGCGGCGUGCUUAACACAUGCAAGUCGAACGAUGAAGCCCAGCUUGCUGGGUGGAUUAGUGGCGAACGGGUGAGUAACACGUGAGCAACCUGCCCCUGACUCUGGGAUAAGCGCUGGAAACGGCGUCUAAUACUGGAUAUGUCCCGUCACCGCAUGGUGUGCGGGUGGAAAGAUUUUUCGGUUGGGGAUGGGCUCGCGGCCUAUCAGCUUGUUGGUGAGGUAAUGGCUCACCAAGGCGUCGACGGGUAGCCGGCCUGAGAGGGUGACCGGCCACACUGGGACUGAGACACGGCCCAGACUCCUACGGG